UCCAUUAUGCUGCGCUUACGAACUUUCUUGGGUCGAAUGACAGCUUCAUUUCCCUCCUUAGCAUGAGAAGGUUCCGCAAUAUGAUUGACAGAUGGAGCAGGAACACUCCCGUCCACCUUGUUGUAGUCUUCUCUAAUGCCCUCAUAAGGUGCCCUCCUCUUAGCAAAAUAGGAAUGAACGAACAAAUAGGAAUUUAGCUUGAUAUAAGUAAAGAAAUACAAAAUCAAAUGGCCAUAAAAGCUCAUUAGACCCGUCCAAGGGCCAGGUACCCAUCUGGCCCAGCCCAGCUAGGGCUAGGCUUGUACACAUCUCGAGCCAGCCCAAAUUCAAUUCAAAUAAGAAAAAAUAUUUUUGAAAAUUUAAAUUUCAUUAUAAAGGUAUAUAAAAUAUCAAUUACAAAUACAAUUUUUAAUAUUUUAUUACUUUUUUGAAUAGUGAAAUGGGAUUUUUGGGCAGGCAAGGCCGGAUGAAAACGGGUCUGGGCUCAAUUGUUGUGAAACCGGGCCUCAGCCCAUGGACAGCUCCAAAGUCAUCCCAAACUUUCAUAAAAAUAAGGCCAAGUCAGGCAGGACUUACAAUGGUUGUAACAAUUAAGUGUACGAAGGAGAAAAAUUAGGAGGAGAUUACAAUUACAAGUUAAAGCAUGCAGUGUAAUGAAAGGAUAAGCCUUAAAAUUCAUGGUAAAAGGAUAAGCAUGCAGUGUAAAGAAAAUUUUUUCCAACAGUCCAGUAAUGAUACUAAAUGUAAAAAUGUGCACAUCCGAAUACACACCUCAUGAGUGUGAGCAGCGUCAUUCCUCUUCAUUAAGUUGCGCUUGGGCACUUUCUUGGGUCUAAUGAAAGUUUCAUUCCCCUCCGUAGCUUGAGAGGGUUGCACACUAUGACCAACAGACGAAGCAGGAACACUCCUGCCCAUCUUGUCCUGGUCUUCUCUGAUGGCCUUGUCAGGUGCCCUCCUCUCAGCUUGAGCCUGUUCAAAAUUACAAUUCAUAGGUGCUGCAGGAACACCCUUUUCCUUCCUUACAUCCCCUUCAGCACCUUCAGUACUUAAACUUUUAGCUGCUGCCAUGAAAGAUACUAAUCUCUCAGCAACUUCUAAGGCUUUAGGGAGGGAAUCAGCAACAGUAGCUGUCAAAUCAGAAGGAACACUCCUGUUCAUCUUGUCCUGGUCUUCUCUGAUGGCCUUGUCAGGUUCCCUCCUCUCAGCUUGAGCCCGUUCAAAAUUACAAUUCAUAGAUGCUGCAGGAACACCCUUUUCCUUCCUUACAUCCCCUUCAGCACCUUCAGCACUUAAACUUUUAGCUGCUUCCAUGAAAGAUACUAAUCUCUCAGCAACUUCUAAGGCUUUAGGGAGGGGAUCAGUAACAGAAGCUGUCAAAUCAGCA
rnacentral:lncRNA from 1 species